AGCAACCACAAGGAAGAGGAAAAGAAGCAGGCACGGACUGACAGAAUGGCCCGCACGAAACAGACCGCCCGUAAAUC
rnacentral:ribozyme from 1 species